GGUUUCAGGCGAUGGCUCUUAGCCCAGUUAGGCUACUGUUUAUUUUUGACUUAUUUUGAAAGGUUCUUCCUUUUUUUUAAAUGCCUGCUACCUCACUUCACUUGACACUUAGGGUAUUUAGAGGAGUAAAUAUUGGAGGCACGUCAUGUCUUUAAAAUGAAACAUUAAAUCCGUAAAAGACAGCAUUGGAGUUAUUCGUGCAUCGAUAUCGUGUGAAUUAAGCCGCGAAGAAAACCGGAUGUGACGUCAUAUAAACAGUAUUUCUUCCUCCGCGCUUUCAACAGGACGAAGAAGAGACAACUUAUAUAUCUUUUCUGUCGUCUUCAUGUCCACCCAUCUCUGAAGAAACCCGCAGUUCCUGGUAAAAAUAGCAAGUUUUGACAGGUAAGCAGAGGAGUCGUACUGUAGGCGACGAGCACUGCGAGGAGAGAAAGGGGGCGUGGCCAUUUGCGAAAGCAGACCAAAGAAGAAUUCUCACAAGAACUCAAAUAAACGUUGAUAUCAAACAUAUUUGGAGAUAAUUAUUGGCAAUGAGAGUAAUUUAAAAAAACAAGUAAAUACAGAUAUCAUGCAUGUAUACAUUGUAUCUGCUGAUGUAUUUCUAUUAUAGUUGGGGAGGAAAACAAAAGGCUGAUAGCCAUAAAAAAAGUGU